CCUACGGUGGGCAGCAGUGGGGAAUAUUGGGCAAUGGGCGCAAGCCUGACCCAGCAACGCCGCGUGAAGGAAGAAGGCUUUCGGGUUGUAAACUUCUUUUAAGAGGGAAGAGCAGAAGACGGUACCUCUUGAAUAAGCCACGGCUAACUACGUGCCAGCAGCCGCGGUAAUACGUAGGUGACAAGCGUUGUCCGGAUUUACUGGGUGUAAAGGGUGUGUAGCCGGGCUGACAAGUCAGAUGUGAAAUCCGGGGGCUCAACCCCCGAACUGCAUUUGAAACUGUUUGUCUUGAGUCUCGGAGAGGCAGGCGGAAUGCCUAGUGUAGCGGUGAAAGGCGUAGAUAUUAGGAGGAACACCAGUGGCGAAGGCGGCCGGCUGGACGACAACUGACGGUGAGGCGCGAAAGCGUGGGGAGCAAACAGGAUUAGAUACCCUUGUAGUC
rnacentral:rRNA from 1 species